GCAAGUCGAACGGUAACAUAAAGAAGCUUGCUUCUUUGAUGACGAGUGGCGGACGGGUGAGUAAUGCUUGGGAAUCUAGCUUAUGGAGGGGGAUAACUACGGGAAACUGUAGCUAAUACCGCGUAAUAUCGAAAGAUGAAAGUGUGGGACCAUCAGGCGACAUGGCAUAGGAUGAGCACAAGUGGGAUUAGGUAGUUGGUGAGGUAAAGGCUCACCAAGCCGACGAUCUCUAGCUGGUCUGAGAGGAUGACC
rnacentral:rRNA from 1 species